rnacentral:rRNA from 1 species
GACGAACGCUGGCGGCGUGCUUAACACAUGCAAGUCGAACGGAAAGGCCCCUUUGGGGGUACUCGAGUGGCGAACGGGUGAGUAACACGUGAGUAACCUGCCCUUGACUUCGGGAUAACUUCAGGAAACUGGGGCUAAUACCGGAUAGGAAUCCUUGCUGCAUGGUGGGGGUUGGAAAGCUUCGGCGGUUUUGGAUGGACUCGCGGCUUAUCAGCUUGUUGGUGGGGUAGUGGCUUACCAAGGCUUUGACGGGUAGCCGGCCUGAGAGGGCGACCGGCCACAUUGGGACUGAGAGACGGCCCAGACUCCUACGGGAGGCAGCAGGGGGGAAUAUUGCACAAUGGGCGGAAGCCUGAUGCAGCAACGCCGCGUGCGGGAUGACGGCCUUCGGGUUGUAAACCGCUUUCAGCAGGGGCGAAGCUUGUGGUGACGGUACCUGCAGAAGAAGCACCGGCUAACUACGUG